CCAAAAUAUGUGGAAUUCAUGAUCAAAGAAUCCUGAUUCUCGAUCACAGAAUCCCAGACAUGAAGGACUCUUCACCAGCUAUCAGAUCAGAUAGGAACCUCUAAUGUGUGUGACCCCGCAGGUUCGAACCUAAGCCGGUAGCACAGGAACCAAUUUCUGUACUAAUCGAAGUGACCAUCUAGCAAUGGUACCCGACGAUCGGAUAGGUCGAAUAGUCACAAUCGCAACACUCAGAACCUACGUGAAUAUGGUUACUGUAUAAUUCAUCCUUUUGACCUCUGUGUUUAGGAUGACUCAGGGUUAAA
rnacentral:lncRNA from 1 species